rnacentral:rRNA from 1 species
GAUGAACGCUGGCGGCGUGCCUAAUACAUGCAAGUCGAGCGAACAGACGAGGAGCUUGCUCCUCUGACGUUAGCGGCGGACGGGUGAGUAACACGUGGAUAACCUACCUAUAAGACUGGGAUAACUUCGGGAAACCGGAGCUAAUACCGGAUAAUAUAUUGAACCGCAUGGUUCAAUAGUGAAAGACGGUUUUGCUGUCACUUAUAGAUGGAUCCGCGCCGCAUUAGCUAGUUGGUAAGGUAACGGCUUACCAAGGCGACGAUGCGUAGCCGACCUGAGAGGGUGAUCGGCCACACUGGAACUGAGACACGGUCCAGACUCCUACGGGAGGCAGCAGUAGGGAAUCUUCCGCAAUGGGCGAAAGCCUGACGGAGCAACGCCGCGUGAGUGAUGAAGGUCUUCGGAUCGUAAAACUCUGUUAUUAGGGAAGAACAAAUGUGUAAGUAACUAUGCACGUCUUGACGGAACCUAAUCAGAAAGCCACGGCUAACUACGU